UCCCCGUUAUCCUGGGCAGUCCUUCCAGAGUUCCCGGCAUGACCCGUUGGCAACUGGAAGCAGGGGUUGCGCUCGUUGCGGGACUUAACCCAACAUCUCACGACACGAGCUGACGACGGCCAUGCAGCACCUGUGUCUAGGUUCUCUUUCGAGCACUCUCACAUCUCUGCGAGAUUCCUAGCAUGUCAAGGGUAGGUAAGGUUUUUCGCGUUGCAUCGAAUUAAACCACACGCUCCGCCGCUUGUGCGGGCCCCCGUCAAUUCCUUUGAGUUUCAACCUUGCGGUCGUACUCCCCAGGCGGGGUACUUCCUGCGUUAGCGCCGGCACCCAGAGGGUCGCUCCCCCAGGCACCUAGUACCCAUCGUUUACGGCGUGGACUAC
rnacentral:misc_RNA from 1 species